rnacentral:rRNA from 1 species
AUGAACGCUGGCGGCGUGCCUAAUACAUGCAAGUCGAGCGAACAGAUGAGGAGCUUGCUCCUCUGACGUUAGCGGCGGACGGGUGAGUAACACGUGGAUAACCUACCUAUAAGACUGGGAUAACUUCGGGAAACCGGAGCUAAUACCGGAUAACAUAUUGAACCGCAUGGUUCAAUAGUGAAAGACGGUUUUGCUGUCACUUAUAGAUGGAUCCGCGCCGCAUUAGCUAGUUGGUAAGGUAACGGCUUACCAAGGCAACGAUGCGUAGCCGACCUGAGAGGGUGAUCGGCCACACUGGAACUGAGACACGGUCCAGACUCCUACGGGAGGCAGCAGUAGGGAAUCUUCCGCAAUGGGCGAAAGCCUGACGGAGCAACGCCGCGUGAGUGAUGAAGGUCUUCGGAUCGUAAAACUCUGUUAUUAGGGAAGAACAAAUGUGUAAGUAACUAUGCACGUCUUGACGGUACCUAAUCAGAAAGCCACGGCUAACUACGUG